rnacentral:lncRNA from 1 species
UGUGUCAUGCAAGAAGGAGGCGGCGGCGGCGGCCGGAGCUGGAGGGGGAGGAGGGGAGGAACCUGAUCCUCGGUAGCGAAGGGCUGGAGGCAAACACCGAGCUCCCCCUGAGCCGCCUGGGAGCAGGGAGGGUUCUGCUACCCUGAGGGGCCCUCCCCGCGGGGCAGAGGGGUUUCCUCAGCAGUGCCCCGGAGCAGGGACCGCGCCAGCCAGCAGAAACAGCUAGUUGUUGUCUGCAGUGAAGAAUAAUUGGAAGCAUGGUGCCUGUUUCUUUUCCUGUGGGAGGAAGUCACAGCAUCUACUUCUGAAUCUGUGCUUGCCUUGAGGAAAAACGGCAUGGCACAGGAAUGUGGACGCUUUCAACCAGAGGAUUCUGUACGACGGUGUCGGCACACAAGGAGUGUUCCACUGACUGACCUCUUUUUGUUUUCAAAUGAAGAGGAGCCAAGAAUAGGACAGCUUGGGAAGCUCAUCCUCGUCUACGGCCAAACGUUGGUUUCUCAUUUCUAGAAGAUGAAAGAUGUGAUGACUCAGGAAAAACUUGCUGCUCGAGAUGUGAGUCUUCAGAUGUUCCUGCCGCCAUAUCUGACAGCUGCUGCCAAGAUUCCCUGGUGGGAUGGACUCUUAUACCUCAACAACCAGAAGCCCAAGGUCUGAAGUCUACCUUAGUGCAGUGGGAGCCACUAACUGUCCUAGUAUGAAGGAAGGAUAUUGAUGUUUUUUGGGCAUGUAAGUGUGUGUGUGUGUGUGUGUGUGUGUGUGUCCCCAUACUCUAGGGACUGAGCCUCCUCACCCAUGUACCACACAGCUUCAGUCCCAGUCCCAUAUUUUGUUUUCAAUCAAACUUUAUACAAAUGUUUCUCAAGAAAAUUAUAAGUUACUUCUUUUAUUUCUCAUUAAUAAUAUUUUGGGGUUUUUAUUUAAUAAAUUUUAAAGCAAGAUGAGCAUUUCAUAAAAGAAA